rnacentral:rRNA from 1 species
UACGUAGGGUGCGAGCGUUAAUCGGAAUUACUGGGCGUAAAGCGUGCGCAGGCGGUGAAUGUAAGACAGAUGUGAAAUCCCCGGGCUCAACCUGGGACCUGCAUUUGUGACUGCAUCGCUAGAGUACGGCAGAGGGGGAUGGAAUUCCGCGUGUAGCAGUGAAAUGCGUAGAUAUGCGGAGGAACACCGAUGGCGAAGGCAAUCCCCUGGGCCUGUACUGACGCUCAUGCACGAAAGCGUGGGGAGCAAACAGG